rnacentral:rRNA from 1 species
UACGUAGGGUGCGAGCGUUUGUCCGGAAUUAUUGGGCGUAAAGAGCUCGUAGGCGGCCUGUCGCGUCGGAUGUGAAAGCCCCGGGGGCUUAACCCCGGGUCUGCAUUCGAUACGGGCAGGCUAGAGUUCGGUAGGGGAGAUCGGAAUUCCUGGUGUAGCGGUGAAAUGCGCAGAUAUCAGGAGGAACACCGGUGGCGAAGGCGGAUCUCUGGGCCGAUACUGACGCUGAGGAGCGAAAGCGUGGGGAGCGAACAGG